rnacentral:rRNA from 1 species
GACGAACGCUGGCGGCGUGCCUAACACAUGCAAGUCGAACGGAGCCGGCCCCGCAAGGGACUGGCUUAGUGGCGAACGGGUGAGUAACGCGUGAGGAACCUGCCUUUCAGUGGGGGACAACAGUUGGAAACGACUGCUAAUACCGCAUGAUACAUUUGGGUGGCAUCAUCUGAAUGUCAAAGAUUUAUCGCUGAAAGAUGGCCUCGCGUCUGAUUAGCUGGUUGGUGAGGUAACGGCCCACCAAGGCGACGAUCAGUAGCCGGUCUGAGAGGAUGAACGGCCACAUUGGGACUGAGACACGGCCCAGACUCCUAAAACGGGNGGCAGCAGUGGGGAAUCUUCCGCAAUGGGACGAAAGCCUGACGGAGCAAUGCCGCGUGAGUGAU